rnacentral:rRNA from 1 species
AUUGAACGCUGGCGGCAUGCCUUACACAUGCAAGUCGAACGGUAACAGGUCUUCGGAUGCUGACGAGUGGCGAACGGGUGAGUAAUACAUCGGAACGUGCCUAGUAGUGGGGGAUAACUACUCGAAAGAGUGGCUAAUACCGCUUGAGAUCUACGGAUGAAAGCAGGGGAUCGCAAGACCUUGUGCUACUAGAGCGGCCGAUGGCAGAUUAGGUAGUUGGUGGGAUAAAAGCUUACCAAGCCAACGAUCUGUAGCUGGUCUGAGAGGACGACCAGCCACACUGGGACUGAGACACGGCCCAGACUCCUCCGGGAGGCAGCAGUGGGGAAUUUUGGACAAUGGGCGCAAGCCUGAUCCAGCAAUGCCGCGUGCAGGAAGAAGGCCUUCGGGUUGUAAACUGCUUUUGUACGGAACGAAAAGGCUCUGGUUAAUACCUGGGGCUCAUGACGGUACCGUAAGAAUAAGCACCGGCUAACUACGUGCCAGCCGCCGCCGUAAAAC